UGCCAGCAGCCGCGGUAAUACGGAGGGAGUUAGCGUUGUUCGGAAUUACUGGGCGUAAAGCGCGCGUAGGCGGAUUGGAAAGUUAGGGGUGAAAUCCCAAGGCUCAACCUUGGAACUGCAUUUGAAACUGGGAAUCUAGAGAUCAGGAGAGGUUAGUGGAAUACCGAGUGUAGAGGUGAAAUUCGUAGAUAUUCGGUGGAACACCAGUGGCGAAGGCGGCUCACUGGCUCGAUACUGACGCUGAGGUGCGAAAGUGUGGGGAGCAAACAGGAUUAGAUA
rnacentral:rRNA from 1 species